rnacentral:lncRNA from 1 species
GGAACACAGGUGAGACAGGUUUUUGUUUUUUCUUUUUUACUUAGGAUUCUUACUCCUCACUGUGGUUCAUGGACCAACAGCAUAGGGGUAGCACGUUAGGAAUGCAGACUCUCAGACCCCAGCCCAAGCCCAUUAAACUAGAAUCUAUUUUCACAAGAACCCCAUGAGCACGUGAAGGUUUGACAAGCCCAGGCAGGGAGCAGAGCAGACACGUGAAGGGUCUCCACCCUGCCAGUUUCUAAGGUUCCUGCCUUCACAGACUCUACAUUGCACCAGUUCUCCAGGCCUGAAUUUUUGUUUAACAUUAGAGUGCAAUUCUGUUCAUCCAGAGGAUAUCUUCGUAGAUCCAUCAUACAUGCAGCUGUGGUUGUGAUCCUGUCCGGAUGAGAGAGAGAAAAGACAGCUUCAUAAGGAUGAUGACUUUCAUUCCCAGGCUUCCCAGCCCCAAAUCAUGUUUACCGGCUGGCCUCAAAAUUUUGUGAUUAAAAUUUUUGAAGGUGAGCAGAUUAAGUUCAAGUUUUUCUUUUUUGCCCACUAGGUGUGUGAGCUGACUCUAGCUUAUUUAUCUCCAUAAUUCUAGGUCCCCUCAUCAAUCAAAACACCUACUGCAAAGGAUGACU